AUUGAACGCUGGCGGUAGGCCUAACACAUGCAAGUCGAACGGCAGCACAGUAAGAGCUUGCUCUUACGGGUGGCGAGUGGCGGACGGGUGAGGAAUACAGCGGAAUCUACUUUUUCGUGGGGGAUAACGUAGGGAAACUUACGCUAAUACCGCAAACUACCUACGGGUGAAAGCAGGGGAUCUUCGGACCUUGCGCGAUUGAAUGAGCCGAUGUCGGAUUAGCUAGUUGGCGGGGUAAAGGCCCACCAAGGCGACGAUCCGUAGCUGGUCUGAGAGGAUGAUCAGCCACACUGGAACUGAGACACGGUCCAGACUCCUACGGGAGGCAGCAGUGGGGAAUAUUGGACAAUGGGCGCAAGCCUGAUCCAGCCAUACCGCGUGGAUGAAGAAGGCCUUCGGGUUGUAAAGCCCUUUUGUUGGGAAAGAAAAGAAGCAGGUUAAUACCCCGCUGUUCUGACGGUACCCACAGAAUAAGCACCGGCUAACUUCGUG
rnacentral:rRNA from 1 species